AAUCAGUUGAGGUCCCACCGCCCUGCUGUCGGCGUCCCUACAGUGAGAAGCUCAAGGCAUUACAGAGGCGCUCCCUUUUAAGUCAAGCACGAGGAGAAUGUUUUCCUCCCAGACAGGUCAUUGGUGUGUGGAAUUCUCAUCCCCAGAAAGACCAUUUACCGAGUCUGCUCUGUUGCUCGGUGGGACUUCCUCUGUAGAAGAUGAUAACUGCUCGCCACCGAACAAGGAUGUGAAUGCAGAGAGUGUGAUACAUCUGAGGACUCCUUGAGGGACUGGGCUCUUAUCCGAGGCGGAGGUUUUAUCAAAUGUUGUUCAUUCGAAAUUUUGUAGUAUAAUGCAGAUUUUAAAUCCGUUCACCAUUUUAACUCCAACAAUUGUGGUAAUCCCCCUAAUGAUGCCCCUGUUAAACAAGAAGGCAGCGAAGUUCAUGUUAGGAACAUUCGAUGAUUUUAAUGUCACUUUUAAGAUUCACUAACCCUGUAUUCAAUUUAAAUUUGUGAUGAAACUUUAAAUCCUAUUACUAGUUUUCGGAGACAUGUUAAGCGUAAACAUUAGGACUUCUAGGCUUUUGGUUAUCUGCAGUAAGUGUGAAAAGCCUGUCCAAGUACUGCCUCGCCGCACAUUAUUAUGCAAAAUGUAAAGGGAGCAGGUUAGAGGGCAGAGCCAUUGUGGCCUUUAAUUGUUCCAGGUAAGAGAGAGCCUCCAGACACAGCGAGGACCCAGCCCACACAAAGUCCCCGUGCACUCCAGAUUAUCAAACCAGGAAAGAAUAGCUGCCCUGGAUCGAGUCACGAGUGGGAGAAGAAAUGUUGCAACUCCUCCAUUUAGCAGAAGAAUUCGCUGGAUGCAAGAAUACUAACGUAAUGACAGCCGGAAUAUAUUAGUAACUAAAAGCUUUCCGGGGAGGCACAGCGGUACUGUCACUGGGCUGGUAAUCGAGAGGACCCAGGGUAGUGCCCUGGGGACGUGGGUGCGGGUACACAGAAUGGGAGAUGAUGAAAUUUUAGUUCAAUCAGCAGAAAUCUGGAAUUAUAAAGUCUGCUGGUGACCUUGAAGCCAUUUAACUUAGAAAGAAUCUGUGGCUUAAGAUGCUCUGUGUUUUAUCUUCGGUGUGCAUACCAAGGCUUUCAUGUAAUUUCCUGUCACAAAUGGGUUGAAGUAUAGGUUGAGCACCACAGUUUUUGUACCUGGGGGCACUCCUUGUCACACACAAACAAGAAUUUAAACACAAACAUUUGGGGGAGAUGGUGGUGGUAACUAGUAACCCAGAGGCCCAGGCUAAUGCUCUGGGGGACACGGGUUCAAAUCCCACCAGGGCAGCUGGUGGAAUUUAAAUAAAAAAAUCAAUGAAUCAAUCUGGUUUAGUGAAACCAGUGUUAGUUGUUGUAAAAACCCAUCUGGAUUGCUAAUGCCCUGAAGGGAAGGAAAUCUGCUGUCCUUACCUGGUCUGACCUCCAUGUGACUCCCGAUCCACAAUAACGUGGAUGUGGUUGACUCUUAAUCUGCUGUCCUUAUCUGGUCUGGACUACAUGUGACUCCAGAUCCACACUAAUGUGGAUGUGGUUGACUCUUAAUCUGCUGUCCUUAUCUGGUCUGGCCUGCAUAUGACUCCAGAUCCACACUAAUGGUUGACUCUUAAACGUCCUCUGAACAAGGGCAAUUAGGGAUGGGCAAUAAACGCUGGCCUAGCCCGCGGUGCCCACAUCCCAUGAAUGGAUAAACAAACCACCAAAAUGACUAAGCUUAGGCGUAAAUUUUAAUCUUGAAGCAGGUCACGCAAAUUUACCUGAACUUAACCACAUCUUCAAAGAUGCGGAGACAAAGUGGUUCCUCAAAGAACACAGAAGAAGAAUUCAUUUUAAAUAGGGGUAAUUUAAUGACUAGUGAUACAGAGCCUAGAGAUAUUAACGAUGACAAGAUUGAUACUGUAACAUUAAAAUGAAUAUAAGCGACAAGCUAAUUGAUAGUGACAAACAGGGUGUUAAUAAACAACAAAAUCGGACGUGUGAUUG